rnacentral:rRNA from 1 species
GAUGAACGCUAGCGGCAGGCUUAACACAUGCAAGUCGAGGGGCAGCGCGAUGUAGCAAUACAUUGGCGGCGACCGGCGCACGGGUGCGUAACACGUAUGGAACUUACCCUUUACUGGGAGAUAGCCCGGAGAAAUCCGGAUUAAUAUCCCAUAAUAAACGAAGUGGCAUCACUUUGUUUUGAAAGCUCCGGCGGUAAAGGAUGGCCAUGCGCACGAUUAGCUAGUAGGUGAGGUAACGGCUCACCUAGGCUACGAUCGUUAGGGGGCCUGAGAGGGUUAUCCCCCACACUGGUACUGAGACACGGACCAGACUCCUACGGGAGGCAGCAGUGAGGAAUAUUGCGCAAUGGAGGCAACUCUGACGCAGCCAUGCCGCGUGCAGGAAGAAGGCGCUACGCGUUGUAAACUGCUUUUAUCCGGGAAGAAACCCCAGGACGUGUCCUGGGUUGACGGUACCGGAGGAAUAAGCACCGGCUAACUUCGUGCCAGCAGCCGCGGUAAAGUAG